CAGUAGAAUAAAAUUCAGAAAUUAUGGUUUAUAGUUUUGGUGUGCCACCCCAAGAUUUUAAGUGGCCCCAUCUGGCCACCCCUAUGAAAAAUUUCUGGAGGCGCCACUGCGCCCGUGGACCGCCAGAAAACAGUAUUAUAAACCAGCGGCUCGUCAGCGGACUGCUGUCGGAAAAGCGGUGGCUGCCGCUGGUGGUCCACUUGAAUAACGAUGAGCAAAACGCCAGUGAACCGCGGGUGGCGCCCGCCAGUGGCCCGCUGGUCUUAUGUUAGCUGGGGCAAUUAUAUCUGUGUGACGUCAUUUGCGCAGAUCUGCUAAAACUGAGAAAACCUCCUUUCGUUUCACAUUCAUGUCGGUCAAGGUAACCUUAGUUAAAAAACAAUAUAGCCUAUAUAUUAAUUUUACAAUUAUCAUUAAUAUUUUCACAUUUAAGCAGUGCUGUCUCAGAUUUGUCUUAGUGAGAGCGCGCGACACUGACGCACACUGAACGCGCACUCUCUCUCUCUCUCUCUCAGCGUGUGUGAUCGAGCGAGCGAGAGACAGAAGACUCACACAAGCCAAUGUAGCCUAUCCUUAUGAGAUGAUAAUAGUAAAAAUAAUAAUAAUUCUGCUUUUUAAUAACAAAUAAUUACAAUAAAAGUAAAAUAUGUAUGCAUGUGUAUACACCAGGGAAGAAAUAAAAGUCAUAUUCAAAUAUUUAUUCUUUUUUUCUUUCUUUUUUCAGAUUGUCAUCCGAUUGUUGUAAGUGAUCAGUCUAGCUGUCAUCCUGCAUCUUGGAUUUGUUCAGUUUGUACAGACAUACUCAAUAUCAGAUAAUGCAUGAUGCUUUUCUUUUUCUCCUUUUUGUUUCUGUGUCAGUAGCUGCUGCACCACAAAGGCUCCACAGCACUUGUCACAAGUCUUUGGCUUUAUCAUCUGAAAAGAGUUCACCUAUGCCAUUGAGCUGGAUGGAAAAACUGAGAAGUUUAUAAACAGAUGGCAUGGAAGAAGAGAGCAGGUCCUAAAACAAAGAAAUUCUUCUUAAGGUAUGCUCCAAAUUUACCAUUUACCAUUGAGUUCACUGAGAUCUGACUA